AGCAACCCUUUAAAGAGUGCGUAAUAGCUCACUGGUCAAGCGCUUCUGCGCCGAAAAUGAACGGGACUAAGCUAUUUGCCGAAGCUAUGGGAUGUUUAUAUAACAUCGGUAGGGGAGCGUUCCGCUGUAGGGUGAAGUAUUAAUGUAAAUGAAUAUGGACGAAGCGGAAGUGAGAAUGUCGGCUUGAGUAGCGAAAACAUUGGUGGAAAUCCAAUGCCCCGAAAACCUAAGGUUUCCUCUGCAAGGCUCGUCCGCAGAGGGUGAGUCAGGUCCUAAGGUGAGGUCGAAAGACGUAGUCGAUGGAUAACGGGUUAAUAGUCCUGUACCAAUUUUGAUUUGUGAAGAGGGACGGAGAAGGCUAAGCCAGCCGGGAAUUGGACUCCGGUUUAAAUAUUUUAGGCGUUGAUAAGUGGGGAAAACACUUUGAGCUGAGAAUUAUGAGUAAAAGGCAUUACUGUUUAUUUUUCUAGAAAUAGAAAAUUGAAUGGCAGUGUUCAAUUGGUCUAUGUCAGGCUUCCAAGAAAAGCUCUAAACACGUUAAAUCAAAAUUGCCUGUACCAAAACCGACACAGGUAGGUAAGUAGAGAAUACUAAGGGGCGCGAGAUAACUCUCUCUAAGGAACUCGGCAAAAUAGCUCCGUAACUUCGGGAGAAGGAGUGCCCUUUUAAGGGCCGCAGUGACCAGGCCCAGGCGACUGUUUACCAAAAACACAGGUCUCCGCUAAUUCGUAAGAUGAUGUAUGGGGGCUGACGCCUGCCCAGUGCCGGAAGGUUAAGGAAGUUGGUCAGCCUUUUGGUGAAGCUAGCAACCGAAGCCCCGGUGAACGGCGGCCGUAACUAUAACGGUCCUAAGGUAGCGAAAUUCCUUGUCAGGUAAGUUCUGACCCGCAUGAAAGGCGUACCGAUCUGGGCACUGUCUCAGAGAGAGAC
rnacentral:rRNA from 1 species